rnacentral:lncRNA from 1 species
GGAGGACUCUCCAAUCUCCCCCAGGGCCCCCCAUUUUGAUCUUAACCUUCCUGGUUUCAUGCUCACCACUCACCUCCUGUAGCCCUGACCAGAAUCCUUCCAUUCUGUAGAAUGCAAACACCUUCAGAAGGGGAUGGCUACUUUCAUCCCUAAGGUCUUAAUGUGAUCUGGUUUAGAACUCUUUUCUUUGCAGGAGGGGGAAAAAUAGGAGUAGGAAGCAAAAGGAAAAGGGUCAGGAAGCGCUAAGGGGAAGGGAUGGGGUGCCGCCUUUCCAUGUGGCUGAUGGCCGACCUUGGUUCUGGGUGCAUGGGUUCUGAGACCACCCUCAAUGACACAAAGUGUUAAAUACAGGGUGUCCUGAUGCGGGAUGCAAAACAACACCCACCCUCUCCCCCAGCCUACCCCUCAUAAGCCGAAUAUUAAUUCUACGCCCCACAAACACUUUGAUGGCAUCAAUGCGGUCUAACAGUACGUUCUGUUUUCUGCCAUGCAGUGUGGGUAAUCGCUCAGCGCUCUUCGGUAGUGAUGAAAGAAUCAGACUCCACUGCAGAAAACACCUCAUUCUAUUCUCAGAAGAGUAAAAUGGAGGAACGCCAGUGAACAAACAACACACCAGGGGUGUGGCAGUUGUUGCUAUUCAGAAAAAGAACACCUGCGGGGGGAAAAGGGUGAGUGGAGGAGGGGAUCUGCGAGCUGUUUGGUGUAGAGUGGUUGCUGAGCCGGGGGCACCCCCGAUGCAAAGUCAGACCCAAGCUCACACCUUUAUUGCUGCCUAUGGUGGUGGCAACCUCACUCUCGUUAUUGAAACAGGACACGUGGUCUAAUUGCUGGGUUUUAUUGACGGAGGUAUUUGAAACUGGGUCUUACUGAAAAAAUUUAGUGUGGGUUGUUGCCCUACUGAGCUGAUUGUACGCCUUAGUCCUAUGGUCCCUGCAGUGAGCGGCCGCCCUCUGUGAGUUCCCCUCCGGUGAUUAAAUGGGGGAAUAAGUGCAAGAAAGCCAGCUGCGGGCAGUAGCAGCUAGUGUGUCUCUCUGAUUCUCAGUCACCUUCUUUUAGCACUGUUUUUUGGUUUCCUGCUGAAGAAAGACAACUGAAGUCAGUCACCCUGCAAGUUCACCGGUGCCUGUCACCUCCCUCUCAGGCCCGGGAGCCCCGCCUCUGCAUUGGCAUCCCCCCACCCCGCUCCCCGCUUUCCUGAGCACGUGGCUCGCCUGGUUGUGAAACUUCUUGUUUGGGGAGUAAUCCUAUCUCGCCCUAUCUGCCCCAGUUACGCUGAAGUCAAGCGAGGACUGUUUUGUCAAAGUCAAGUGGUGCCCAGAACCCAUCUCUGAGCUGCUACCCACCUCUUCUCUUCAAAAACAGGAAGUCACCUCAGGCCAGAGUAAACCAGUCCUAAUGCCUUGGGGUGUGCAUUUUGUUAGAGCUCAGAAGGUUGGUUUAAAACUUGGCAAGUGACAUCCCUGGAUGGCCUGGCCAUGUUCUUUUUGUCUCCUACCAAGCUUCUCGAUUUCUCCUUCGCCCUGAUCUUUACUCUAUGAUUCGGAGUCAAGCUUCUUGGGUGAGACCUUCAAGAAAAGUCAACGGUUGGGAGGCCGAGACGGGCGGAUCACGAGGUCAGGAGAUCGAGACCAUCCUGGCUAACACGGUGAAACCCCGUCUCUAUUAAGAAAUACAAAAAAAAACUAGCCGGGCGAGGUGGCGGGCGCCUGUAGUCCCAGCUACUUGGGAGGCUGAGGCCGGAGAAUGGCGUGAACCCGGGAGGCGGAGCUUGCAGUGAGCUGAGAUCCGGCCACUGCACUCCAGCCUGGGUGACAGAGCGAGACUCCGUCUCAAAAAAAAAAAAAGAAAAGUCAACGGUGGGUUUAGAGCCCCUCCCAGGGAUUUGAGGACCCCGUCCUGCAAGUAGACAGUUGACUUUGGGGGUUGGAAUAAAGGAUAAGGCCCCAGAUUCUGGAAUCCUUUUUUUUUUAUUAAUCUUAUUUGGUUUUUAUGUUAGUUUUAUGUUAGCUGACACUACUGCCUCAGAACCAAAGUGAUACACUUAUUUAUUUUAUUUAUUAAUUAUUAUAUAAUGUAGAACAGUCU